rnacentral:rRNA from 1 species
AACGAACGCUGGCGGCAUGCUUAACACAUGCAAGUCGAACGGACCCUUCGGGGUUAGUGGCGGACGGGUGAGUAACACGUGGGAACGUGCCUUUAGGUUCGGAAUAGCUCCUGGAAACGGGUGGUAAUGCCGAAUGUGCCCUUCGGGGGAAAGAUUUAUCGCCUUUAGAGCGGCCCGCGUCUGAUUAGCUAGUUGGUGGGGUAAAGGCUCACCAAGGCGACGAUCAGUAGCUGGUCUGAGAGGAUGACCAGCCACAUUGGGACUGAGACACGGCCCAAACUCCUACGGGAGGCAGCAGUGGGGAAUCUUGCGCAAUGGGCGAAAGCCUGACGCAGCCAUGCCGCGUGAAUGAUGAAGGUCUUAGGAUUGUAAAAUUCUUUCACCGGGGACGAUAACGACGGUACCCGGAGAAGAAGCCCCGGCUAACUUCGUGCCAGCCGCCGCGGUAAUAC